AGGAUGAACGCUGGCGGCGUGCCUAAUACAUGCAAGUCGAGCGAACCACUUCGGUGGUGAGCGGCGAACGGGUGAGUAACACGUAGGUGAUCUGCCCAUCAGACGGGGACAACGAUUGGAAACGAUCGCUAAUACCGGAUAGGACGAAAGUUUAAAGGUGCUUCUGGCACCGCUGAUGGAUGAGCCUGCGGCGCAUUAGCUAGUUGGUAGGGUAAAGGCCUACCAAGGCGACGAUGCGUAGCCGACCUGAGAGGGUGAACGGCCACACUGGGACUGAGACACGGCCCAGACUCCUACGGGAGGCAGCAGUAGGGAAUCUUCGGCAAUGGGCGAAAGCCCGACCGAGCAACGCCGCGUGAAUGAUGAAGGCCUUCGGGUUGUAAAAUUCUGUUAUAAGGGAAGAACGACUUUAGUAGGAAAUGGCUAGAGUGUGACGGUACCUUAUGAGAAAGCCACGGCUAACUACGUGCCAGCAGCCGCGGUAAUACGUAGGUGGCGAGCGUUAUCCGGAAUUAUUGGGCGUAAAGAGCGCGCAGGUGGUUGAUUAAGUCUGAUGUGAAAGCCCACGGCUUAACCGUGGAGGGUCAUUGGAAACUGGUCGACUUGAGUGCAGAAGA
rnacentral:rRNA from 1 species